rnacentral:rRNA from 1 species
AUUGAACGCUGGCGGCAUGCCUUACACAUGCCAGUCGAACGGUAACGGGCCUUCGGGUGCCGACGAGUAGCGAACGGGUGAGUAAUACAUCGGAACGUGCCCGAUCGUGGGGGAUAACGAGGCGAAAGCUUUGCUAAUACCGCAUACGAUCUACGGAUGAAAGCAGGGGACCGCAAGGCCUUGCGCGGACGGAGCGGCCGAUGGCAGAUUAGGUAGUUGGUGGGAUAAAAGCUUACCAAGCCGACGAUCUGUAGCUGGUCUGAGAGGAUGAUCAGCCACACUGGGACUGAGACACGGCCCAGACUCCUACGGGAGGCAGCAGUGGGGAAUUUUGGACAAUGGGCGCAAGCCUGAUCCAGCCAUGCCGCGUGCAGGAUGAAGGCCUUCGGGUUGUAAACUGCUUUUGUACGGAACGAAAAGCCUUCUUUUAAUACAGGAGGGUCAUGACGGUACCGUAAGAAUAAGCACCGGCUAACUACGUG